rnacentral:rRNA from 1 species
UACGGAGGGAGCUAGCGUUAUUCGGAAUUACUGGGCGUAAAGCGCACGUAGGCGGCUUUGUAAGUUAGAGGUGAAAGCCUGGAGCUCAACUCCAGAAUUGCCUUUAAGACUGCAUCGCUUGAAUCCAGGAGAGGUGAGUGGAAUUCCGAGUGUAGAGGUGAAACUCGUAGAUAUUCGGAAGAACACCAGUGGCGAAGGCGGCUCACUGGACUGGUAUUGACGCUGAGGAGCGAAAGCGUGGGGAGCAAACAGG